ACCAUCUCUGAAAUCCGAACACAUACUCCUCCAGAAUGUUCCCUUCUACCUCUGCCACGGCCUCCCGUCUCCUCGUCCCCGCCGCCUCUCGCCGCGCCAUGGCCGCUGCCGCCUCCGCCAACCCGCCGCCCCCGCAGCAAUCGCCCCCCAAGGCGGUGCGGGUCGUGGUGAAGGGCCGCGUGCAGGGCGUCUUCUUCCGCGACUGGACGGUGGAGACGGCCCGCGCGCUCGGGCUCGCCGGCUGGGUCCGCAACCGCCACGACGGCACCGUGGAGGCCCUCCUGUCCGGCGAACCCGCCAGGGUCGACGAGAUGGUCUCCCGGCGCCUUCCCGUAGGGCCUCCCGCCGCCGCCGUCACCGCGGUGCUGCCUUCCCCAGCCGAUCCGCUCGACCCUUCCGAGGGCUUCCACCGCAAGCCGACCGCCUGACGACGGCUGGUUCUUGUCAUUGACAUGAUGUGCCAGUCGACUAGUACUACUCAAUAGCCUCUCCUCUGCCCGGUCAGCCCAGCGCCUCGGCCUCCAUUCAACGACCUCCAAGUGUCACCAACAAGGGAGCAAGGUCUCUAUGACCUCCAUUCCUGACGUAUCUCCUCCCUCAAUGGUUGAUGAUCAUUGAUGUCUACUGCUCCAACAUCGCCUCGUUCUCUCCAAGCAUCCGUGGCGUGGAGGAUCCUUCCCCAAAUCCCAAUGGUUUAAUCACUGGUGUUCAUUACAGCGUUUAACUGUGGUUUGUUCAUUAUCUGGGUGUACUAUGUCUUGGUACCUUAUUCUGAAGAGCCGAAAGUCUAAAACCAAAUAUUCUUUAGAGCCUACUAUGACCAUGAGCAGCUUCGUGCUUGCUCAAAACCCUACCAAAGUUUUUGGAUGACUGCUGCUGAACCGCCCAAGACUUUGUGUGUACUUGUCAGCUUCUUUUUUUAGUAGAGAAAAGGCAUACACCCAACUUUAUAAAUAAAGUCACCAGGCAGAGUUUCACAAGCACGACAGCAAUACCGCCGCCUGGGCCAACAAGCACAAAAGAAAACAAGAAGGCACUCCGGCCCGGGAAGUGCACACAGGCCAGCAACUAACAACAGGAUAACAAGGCGCGCAGGCCAACAACCUACAGCAACCGCGGCAGACACACAACGAUGAUUAAGCACGGGCAGCAGGGACUUGCUGCAUCAACGAGAAAGCAGAAGCCCGGACCUUGGAAAUAAGCACCUCCGUUGCGUCCCGGUCAACCUCCUUAGUCACCGCGGCAGACACGCAACGAGUCAGCUUCUCUUGCCAUGCAUGCAGUUGUUGUGUAGUAGUGUAUAGCGCUUGCAUAAUAAUACAGCUUAUGUUGUGCUGGAUGAAAACAUUUUUGGGAUUUGCAGUUAUAUCGCUCAAUUUGCCAUGGAACACUUUCUGCCUGUGACUGAUCUUCAUACAUAUCACUUCAGUCUCCAAACAUCUAUUUACCCGCUUCUAGCUUGCUGAACCUGUACCUGCAUAUAGGUACAUUCUUCUCUUUACUCAGUCAUUCUCUUGCAGCUCCACCAUGGACCUGUCGUUCCCCUCCCCUGUCUCGUGGAGCUUCAAGGAGUCGAACGUGGAGCGCGCGGCACACGUGACAUAGUACACCAGGUUGAUGACCUGCAGCAGAGUCGCGACCCAGUAGAGGUAGUCCAGCUUGCCCUGGUGGAUGUUGUCCGGUUUACAAACCAGUCGUCAUUUCUUGAUAGGCUACGGGGCGUAGAGAGAAAAGAAAACGGUGAUCUAUGGUGGGAAUUGCAUCAAAAGAGUUUUGCUCGCCUCCAUUCUUCUCUGUUCUUCGUCUCACCUCUUAAGUUAGACUUUGUAAAUGUGCUGGCAUUGGCCACAUCCUUUCUUGACACCCCAUUCCUCUUCCAGAGCAAUCUGGAAUUUGUGAGAUUUUCCCCCUUUUCUCGGGUUGUUUCAUCUGUAUACACAAAAUAAAUAACAGAAAGGAUAUGUUUGCAAAAAUAAUUAGAAUCAUGAAAAGACACCAGUAAAUUCAAGGAGUAUGAUAUGUAUUGGAUAUAUCACCGUCCUGGUCUCGGUGUGCCUACUAGGGAGGCCAUGGUGUUUGCUCAUGGGCCGAGGGCUCUCAAUCUAGUGGAUUGUCAUGUAGCAUCAGGUCUUGUCUUGGCAGUUGGUGCUAUCUAGCUUUUGUUAUGGAGUGUGGUUUCAGUCUUCUGUAUUUUCCUGAUCUUUGCCUUCUUUCCCGGUUAUCUGUCAAUGAAGCAGCGGUUCACAACCUAUUUUGAAAUUCCAACUUGUGUAGGUUUUUCUCGUCCUAUUUUUUAAUCUAGAGGCAUGGAAAAAAGUGAGGAUGCAAAGGCGACUGGAGACCAAGACUUCAUAUAUACGUUAUUGAUAAUAAGGUGGAGGUGGAUCUGCUAAAUCAUCGGAUCAUCCUCUUCACUGAUGCUUGAGGACUGCCACAAAGGAUAUGCCACUACUUAAGAAUGUGCCAUCACAGACGAUUUAGAAAAUCCAUCAUAUACAUCUUCCCGGUGACAUGGUUUAUGUCAUCACAACCUGGACAUUUUGUAAUAAGAUAAGAGAUGACUGAAAGGUUCAUAAUGUGAAAUGGUUUGUGAUUUGGUCUUUUUAUAGACAGUUCGUGCUUGAGGAAUGCCUAUGAUACUCUUUUUCA